AAGUUGCAAUUUCUUUUGUUUCUUUACUUCAGGUUUAUUGUUAAUAUUGAAAAAAAUAUAAAAAUAAUUUAUUAUUUAAAAGUUAAUAUAAAAUAAUGUAGAUUAAAAUUUUCUUUGCAUAAGUUUUUCCCGCCAAUUUGUCUUUAUCUUCAAUAAUGAUGUCAAAUGAAGGUUCGACAAUCACUGACAAGGUCAUGACAGAAGGCGGGUGGCUUGUCAAAAUAAGGUCAUUACGAUCAUAGAUCCAGCCUUCAACCUGUAAUCGACACCGGAAUCUAACGAUUCAACUAAGCAGUGGUCUUUUAAGACUUUAAUAAAAGGUACAAAAUUUCCUCUUUGUAAUCCAUUCUUGUACAAGUCGUCAGGUGAUCUAUUGCUUGUGGCAACGACAAUCACACCAUUAUUGAAUAAUUCAGUAAAUAAUCGUUUUAAUAUCAUUGCAUCUGCAAUAUCUGUCACCUGAAAUAUAUUGUAUAAGAAAAUAUACAAAACAAGCAUAUAUUUUCAUUCAAUAAAAAAUAUUAUCGAAUUGAAACCUGAAAUUCAUCAAAACAUAGUAACCAAGCUUCUUCUGUAAUAGCAGCUGCUACUGGUGGUAUCGGAUCAAACGGUUGAAGUUUAGUACUAUUAGUAUCUCUCACUAUAGUCUUCUUAACCUCGUGAACUUUUUUGUGAACAUCAAGCAUGAAGGAAUGAAAAUGUACUCGUUUCUUAUUUUCAAUCUAGAGUAACAUAAUCAAUGGUAGUAAUAAUAUUACUUGAUA